rnacentral:rRNA from 1 species
AGCGAACAAGUACCGUGAGGGAAAGUUGAAAAGUACUCUGAAUAGAGAGUUAAAUAGUACGUGAAACCGCUUAGGGGUUAAGCCCGAUGAACCCGAAUAUCUGAUGUGAGAAAUUCAAUACUGUUCUUUUUGAACAAUCAAUGCGGAUAGUAUGCAAUUUUCUCAUAGUAGGACAUUGUAAUCCAUUGAUAUUAUAUCAUUUUCAUUUUGUUAUAAUGGGAAUGAUGAUUUAACAUACGAAUAAAAUGUAUAAGUUUAUUCUAUCAGUAAUAUGUUUUAAUAUAUUAUAUGAAUAAGAUCGUUUUGUAUCUGUUUAAAUAGUCGAUGGAUUUAAAACUGAAUCAUGCUUGCAAUUUAAUUUGCGUUUCGUAUUAUCGGCCAUUUAACCGGUUGGUAAUAGUAGAAAUGGCAUGCAUUCGAUUAACAAUGCGAUAGAUUUGGGAUACUUUCAGGACCCGUCUUGA